rfam:Rattus norvegicus chromosome 12, whole genome shotgun sequence.
GGGGAUUUAGCUCAGUGGUAGAGUGCUUGCCUAGCAAGCGCAAGGCCCUGGGUUUGAUCCCCAGCUCCA